rnacentral:lncRNA from 1 species
GCCUUUAAUAGCUGACUAUGUGGUAUAUGCUCUGGUUAUUGUUGAAGGCUGUACCAUGACCUAUAGUUGUUAAUUUUUGUGUCACUUGGUGUCUCGUGAAGAUUUGACUCAUUGGCAAUCUUACCACAUAUUCUUUUUUAUAUUAACCAAACACUCAUGAAAAUGAUCUAAUUUUACACUUUCACAUUUAUAUGUUCAAAGAAGC